AGAGUUUGAUCCUGGCUCAGGAUGAACGCUAGCGGCAGGCUUAAUACAUGCAAGUCGAGGGGCAGCAUGGCGUAGCAAUACGCCGAUGGCGACCGGCGCACGGGUGCGUAACGCGUAUGGAACCAACCCGGCACAGGGGGAUAACCCGGAGAAAUCCGGACUAAUACCGCACGACAUUCGGGGGAGGCAUCUUUUCCGAAUCAAAGAGAAAUCGGUGCCGGACGGGCAUGCGUCCCAUUAGCUAGUUGGCGGGGCAAGGGCCCACCAAGGCGACGAUGGGUAGGGGAUCUGAGAGGACGACCUCCCACACUGGUACUGAGACAGGGACCAGACUCCUACGGGAGGCAGCAGUAGGGAAUAUUGGGCAAUGGCCGAGAGGCUGACCCAGCCAUGCCGCGUGCAGGAGGAAGGCCUUAUGGGUUGUAAACUGCUUUUAGCCGGGGCUAACGCUCUCCUUGCGAGGGGAGGUGAAGGUACCGGCGGAAUAAGGAUCGGCUAACUCCGUGCCAGCAGCCGCGGUAAUACGGAGGAUCCGAGCGUUAUCCGGAUUCAUUGGGUUUAAAGGGUGCGCAGGCGGGGCUUUAAGUCCGCGGUGAAAGGCACACGCUCAACGUGUGCACUGCCAUGGAUACUGGAGUCCUAGAUCAUGGACGGCGUGGGCGGAAUAUGUCAAGUAGCGGUGAAAUGCGUAGAUAUGACAUAGAACACCGAUCGGGAAGCCGGCUCACGAGGCCAUGGAUGACGCUCAGGCACGAAAGCGUGGGGAUCAAACAGGAUUAGAUACCCUGGUAGUCCACGCGGUAAACGAUGAACACUCGUUGCCGGCGACAAGCUGCCGGUGGCCAAGCGAAAGUGAUAAGUGUUCCACCUGGGGAGUACGUCCGCAAGUAUGAAACUCAAAGGAAUUGACGGGGGCCCGCACAAGCGGAGGAGCAUGUGGUUUAAUUCGAUGAUACGCGAGGAACCUUACCCGGACUUGAACGCAGUUGGAAUGCGCGUGAAAGCGUGCAGCCCGCAAGGGCCGGCUGCGAGGUGCUGCAUGGUUGUCGUCAGCUCGUGCCGUGAGGUGUUAGGUUAAGUCCUGCAACGAGCGCAACCCUUACCCCCAGUUGCCAGCAGUCAGAUGGGGACUCUGGGGGAACUGCCCGCGCAAGCGAGGAGGAAGGUGGGGAUGACGUCAAAUCAGCACGGCCCUUACGUCCGGGGCGACACACGUGCUACAAUGGGGGGCACAGAGGGGAGCCAGGCCGCGAGGCCGAGCGGAUCCCGAAAGCCCCUCACAGUUCGGAUCGGAGUCUGCAACCCGACUCCGUGAAGUUGGAUUCGCUAGUAAUCGCGCAUCAGCCAUGGCGCGGUGAAUACGUUCCCGGGCCUUGUACACACCGCCCGUCAAGCCAUGGGAGCCGGGGGUGCCUGAAGUACGUGACCGCGAGGAGCGUCCUAGGGUAAAACUGGUGACUGGGGCUAAGUCGUAACAAGGUAACC
rnacentral:rRNA from 1 species